rfam:Ictidomys tridecemlineatus contig051111, whole genome shotgun sequence.
GGGGUUGUGGCUCAGUGGUAGAGCACUUGCCUAGCACGUGUAAGGCACUGAGUUCGAUUCUCAGCACCA